UACGAAGGGGACUAGCGUUGUUCGGAAUUACUGGGCGUAAAGCGCACGUAGGCGGCCUUGUAAGUCGGAUGUGAAAUCCCUCGGCUCAACCGAGGACGUGCAUCCGAAACUGCAAAGCUCGAGUAUGGAAGAGGGUCGCGGAAUUCCCGGUGUAGAGGUGAAAUUCGUAGAUAUCAGGAAGAACACCCGUGGCGAAGGCGGCUCUCUGGGACGGUACUGACGCUGAGACGCGAAAGCGUGG
rnacentral:rRNA from 1 species